rnacentral:rRNA from 1 species
UGGCUGCUAAUACCGCAUAAGCGCACAGAGCUGCAUGGCUCAGUGUGAAAAACUCCGGUGGUAUAAGAUGGACCCGCGUUGGAUUAGCUGGUUGGUGGGGUAACGGCCCACCAAGGCGACGAUCCAUAGCCGGCCUGAGAGGGUGAACGGCCACAUUGGGACUGAGACACGGCCCAGACUCCUACGGGAGGCAGCAUG